rnacentral:rRNA from 1 species
UACGAAGGGGGCUAGCGUUGCUCGGAAUCACUGGGCGUAAAGCGCACGUAGGCGGAUUGUUAAGUCAGGGGUGAAAUCCUGGAGCUCAACUCCAGAACUGCCUUUGAUACUGGCGAUCUUGAGUCCGGGAGAGGUGAGUGGAACUGCGAGUGUAGAGGUGAAAUUCGUAGAUAUCGCAAGAACACCAGUGGCGAAGGCGGCUCACUGGCCCGGUACUGACGCUGAGGUGCGAAAGCGUGGGGAG